rnacentral:rRNA from 1 species
UACAGAGGGUGCGAGCGUUAAUCGGAAUUAUUGGGCGUAAAGCGCGUGUAGGCGGCUUUGCAAGUCGGGUGUGAAAGCCCUCAGCUCAACUGAGGAAGUGCGCCCGAAACUGCAGAGCUUGAGUACCGGAGAGGAUGGCGGAAUUCCCCAAGUAGAGGUGAAAUUCGUAGAUAUGGGGAGGAACACCGGUGGCGAAGGCGGCCAUCUGGACGGAUACUGACGCUGAGACGCGAAAGCGUGGGUAGCAAACAGG